AUGAAGGUGCAGCGGCGCCCUAUCACCGCAGACGUCGUCACGUCGACCCGCGAAUCAAUGCUCCAGACAGUGAACUACGGGUCCUCGUACGCGUUGGAGCUGGAGAAGAGGCUGGCGGCACGGGAUGCCGAGCUCGAGAAGGAGAAGGCAGAGAGAGCUGUGCUGGAGAAGAAGGUGGCAGAAGGGGAUGCCGAGCUCGAGAAGGUGAAGGCAGAGAGAGCUGUGCUGGAGAAGAAGGUGGCAGAAGGGGAUGCCGAGCUCGAGAAGGUGAAGGCAGAGAGAGCUGUUCUGGAGAAGAAGGUGGCGGCACGGGAUGCCGAGCACGAUAAGGAGAAAGUAGAGAGAGUUGUGCUGGAAAAGAAGGUGGCGGCACGAGAUGCCGAGCUCGAGAAGGAGAAGGCAGAGAGAACUGUUCUGGAGAAGAAGCUGGCAACAAGGGAUGCCGAGCUCGAGAAGGUCAAGGCAGAGAGAGCUGGGCUGGAGAAGAAGCCAGUGGCGCGGGACGCGGAGGUUGUGGCUCCACGCGACCGCGAGCAGCUACAGAAAUCAAAGCGUGGUCAUGAAAACGCUGCAGUACAGCAGGAUCUGCAGUGUGAGGACCAGGUGCGGCGUCGGGCGGAGCAGGCGCUGGAGGGGUACGAUCGUUGGAAGGGCACCGGUGCUGUAAGAAGGACAUGA
rnacentral:rRNA from 1 species